rnacentral:rRNA from 1 species
GACGAACGCUGGCGGCGUGCCUAAUACAUGCAAGUAGAACGCUGAAGGAGGAGCUUGCUUCUCUGGAUGAGUUGCGAACGGGUGAGUAACGCGUAGGUAACCUGCCCGGCAGCGGGGGAUAACCAUUGGAAACGAUAGCUAAUACCGCAUAAUAUCGACUAUUGCAUGAUAGUCAGUUGAAAGGUGCAACUGCACCACUACCAGAUGGUCCUGCGUUGUAUUGGCUUGUUGGUGGGGUAACGGCUCACCAAGGUGACGGAACUUAGCCGACCGGCGGGGAUGAGCAGCCAGACUGGGAGUGAGGCACGGCACAUAGUGCUACAGGAAGCAGCAGGAGGGAAACUUGAGGAAGGGGCGGAAGUCUGAGCGAGCAAGGCCGCGUGCGUGAAGAAGGUUUUCGGGUCGGGAAGCUCUGUUGUAGGGGAAGAACGAGUGUGAGAGUGGAAAGCUCACACUGUGACGGUAGCUUACCAGAAAGCGACGGCUAACUACGUG